rnacentral:lncRNA from 1 species
UAUCGGUUCAUCUAAAUGGAUGAACCGGACUCGGUUCGUGCUCGGACUCUGCCAAACUCCCCGUGCUUCAACGGACUGAAUUGGUCAAAACUGUCACCAAAAGCUGUGUGAUACUACCAAAGCUGACUCAGAAUGCUACAUGGAAAAAAACAGCAGAAAUAAAAGGUUGAGUUGCUAACUUAAAGCUUUUUCAAAUGAAGUUUUUGCUCUUCGUCAGAUUUUUUGUUGUUGAAGUUGUUUGGUGUUUUCUGAUGAUUGCAGAUGGAUGAUAAAAUUUAACAGGUUUGACUUCAAAACUUGGAAGGAAGAGAGAAGAAGAAAGGGAGAUGAUUAAGAAAGGUUGGGGGGUGAUGACUGAAUCAGAAUUAGUCCAAAAAAGGUUUGAUUAAUGGGGUUUAUUAAUUAUCUUAAUCCCUUAAUGAUUGAUUAGUGUUGUUGUGGAGUGGCCAAGUAGAGAAUAUUGGAAACUUGUUAGUAUUGUAGGGGAAAACCAUUGGCUCGUUUUUCGUCUCUCUUCUUGUCUUUUUACACGAGAUGGAACAUCAUUCGAAUGAUUGGGCUUAUCUUGUAGGUUCGAACAAGGUUCAAGAAGAUGCUAGGCAGGCCAUGGGGGCUGUUGGUUGCGGAGAUCACUCGCCGUCCAUCGUCUAAAUAGGUCCGGUGAGCCCAUUCAUCAUCCUCGAAAGCAACCUAGCUCCUCUUUCUCUUCUUUUUUUUUUCUUCGGACUCGAACUCUUCAUUAUUGAGCCCGCUCACUUGUGCAUUUCUACGGAGUUCAAGUUGUUCGAGGCGUAAGGUAGAUGUAGGGGUAGGGGCCUUACCUAGCGCCUAGGCGUUGGUACAAAAAUUCUAGCAAAUAUGCAUAAGCAUUUGAUGUCAAACCAUUGACUCGUUUUUCCGUCUCUCUUCUUGUCUUUUUACCUGAGAUGGAACAUCACUCGAAUGAUUGGGCUUAUCUCGUAGAUUCGAACAAGGUUCGAGAAGGCGCUAGGUAGGUCAUGGGGGCUCUUGGUUUGUGGAGAUCGCUCGUCGUCCAUCAUCUACAUAGUCCCGGUGAGCCAUUCCUCAUCCUCGAAAGCAACUUGAUUUCCACAUAAUAAUUGAUGGAAGUUAUUAUGUAAGCCAAGAGUUUUUACUCAUUCGUUCACUACUUUCCUACUUGUAAAACCUGUAAAUUGGGUGAACUGCCAUCCACUUAAGCUUAUAUAAUUCAGUCAGUUAUGGCCCAAUGAACAUGUAACCGGUUAACCUGUAACCUGUAAUCCGACUAACUCAGUUCGAUUUUGUGUGAAGGAAAGAAGAGGGGUUUGGUCCAAGUGGAGUUGCUCCAGUGGUAGAGCAUGUGUCUGAUUAUCCAAAGGUUUCGGGUUCGAAUUCAGUAUACUCCGAAAAAUGGACACUUAUUUAUUUUUAUAGUCUUCUAUCUUGUAUUAAUCGAAAGUCUCGAUCUACUUUGACAAAAAAAAAGGAUUUGUUCUCCAACAAGUCAAAGUGAGUACAAUCAACUUCCCCUUCUAAUUGCAACACACUCUAUUAAAUAGUGAAAGCUUUUCUCUCUUUCGAUUGAUAUCAUGAGCUCUACAAAGAAGCAAGAACAGUAAGUAUUCUCUAACUCGAAUUUUUUAUUAUUUUAAAUUUCUGUGACGAACAAAUCACUUAUUGUUACGUGUCUAUUUCGGAGGAUAAAUCUAAAAUAAGAAAC